UACGAAGGGGGCUAGCGUUGCUCGGAAUUACUGGGCGUAAAGGGCGCGUAGGCGGCGCAGAUAGUCAGGCGUGAAAUUCCUGGGCUUAACCUGGGGGCUGCGCUUGAUACGUCUGUGCUAGAGGACGGAAGAGGGUCGUGGAAUUCCCAGUGUAGAGGUGAAAUUCGUAGAUAUUGGGAAGAACACCGGUGGCGAAGGCGGCGACCUGGUCCGUUACUGACGCUGAGGCGCGACAGCGUGGGGAGCAAACAGG
rnacentral:rRNA from 1 species